UUGACCGAGUACUCCCACUCGCCCUGCGGGCCGGCGAGCACGGUCUCGCCGAAGUACUCGCCGUCGGCCAUGUUGCCGAGCACGGUCUCGCCGCCGUACUCGCCGGUGCCGAUCUUGUCGACCUUGCCGUGCGCGAUCAGCACGACCUGGUCCUGCGGACGGCCCUUCUCGACGAUGACGUCGCCGACGCGGUACUCGCGCUGCUGGAAGCGGCCGGCCAGCGCGGCCAGCACGGCGUCGUCGUCGAACCCGCGCAGCAGCGACAGCUCGGUGAGCUCCAUCGGGAUGACGCGGAUGUCGGCGCCGGUGUUGGUGAACGAGACACGUCCAUCGCCGAGCGUGUAGGUGAGACGGCGGUUGACCCGGUACGCACCACCCGCCGCCUGCACCCAGGGCAGCACCUUGAGCAGCCAGCGGGAGGUGAUCCCCUGCAUCUGCGGAACGGACUUGGUGGUCGUGGCCAGAUUACGAGCGGCGGCCGUGCCCAAACUCAGCUGCUGACGGCCCU
rnacentral:antisense_RNA from 1 species